rnacentral:rRNA from 1 species
UACGUAGGUGGCUAGCGUUGUCCGGAUUUACUGGGCGUAAAGAGCGCGCAGGCGGUCGUUCAAGUCGAGUGUGAAAGCCCCCGGCCCAACUGGGGAGGGUCACUCGAUACUGAUCGACUCGAAGGCAGGAGAGGGAAGCGGAAUUCCCGGUGUAGUGGUGAAAUGCGUAGAUAUCGGGAGGAACACCAGUGGCGAAGGCGGCUUUCUGGCCUGCUCUUGACGCUGAGGCGCGAAAGCUAGGGUAGCAAACGGG